rnacentral:rRNA from 1 species
AAUAGAUACCCAGGUAGUCCACGCCCUAAACGAUGCAUAUUUGGUGUGGGUGAUUCAGUUCAUCCGUGCCGGAGCUAACGCGUUAAAUAUGCCGCCUGGGGAGUACAGUCGCAAGGCUGAAACUCAAAGGAAUUGACGGGGGCCCGCACAAGCGGUGGAGCAUGUGGUUCAAUUCGACGCAACGCGAAGAACCUUACCUGGGCUCGAACGGCCGGUCAACGGCAGUGGAAACACUGUUAUCCCGCAAGGGAGUCCGGUCGAGGUGCUGCAUGGCUGUCGUCAGCUCGUGUCGUGAGAUGUUGGGUUAAGUCCCGCAACGAGCGCAACCCUCGUCCUGUGUUGCCAUGGGAGCAAUCCCGGGAACUCGCAGGAGACCGCCAGCGAUAAGUUGGAGGAAGGUGGGGAUGACGUCAAGUCCUCAUGGCCUUUAUGUCCAGGGCUACACACGUGCUACAAUGGCCGGUACAAAGCGCUGCAAACCCGCGAGGGGGAGCCAAUCGCAAAAAACCGGUCUCAGUUCGGAUUGCAGGC